rnacentral:rRNA from 1 species
UACGUAGGGUGCAAGCGUUAUCCGGAAUUAUUGGGCGUAAAGAGCUCGUAGGCGGUUUGUCGCGUCUGCUGUGAAAACUCGAGGCUCAACCUCGAGCUGUCGGUGGAAACUGUCUGGCUAGAGUCCGGAAGAGGAGAGUGGAAUUCCUGGUGUAGCGGUGAAAUGCGCAGAUAUCAGGAAGAACACCUAUGGCGAAGGCAGCUCUCUGGGACGGUACUGACGCUGAGGCGCGAAAGCGUGGGGAGCGAACAGG